UGUAAUUUUGAGAAUUACGAACGGAAAAUAAAUAACGUAUUUCCAAGGUAAGUCACCAAUGCGACGCUAUUCAACGUUGUAGGUCAAAGAAACGCGAAAUGCAAACAAACAAAAAACACCGUGUAGCAAGAAUUGUGUUGUACGAUUGAAACUAAAGAUCUUCUUUUUCAAAUCUAUCGAUAAAAGAAUGAUGCGUCUUUAACGAAGGAAAGGCGUCCU